rnacentral:rRNA from 1 species
CCGGGAUUGCCUUUAGUAACGGCGAGUGAAGCGGCAAAAGCUCAAAUUUGAAAUCUGGCGUCUUCGANCGUCCGAGUUGUAAUUUGAAGAAGGCGACUUUGUAGCUGGUCCUUGUCUAUGUUCCUUGGAACAGGACGUCAUAGAGGGUGAGAAUCCCGUGUGGCGAGGAUCCCAGUUAUUUGUAAAGUGCUUUCGACGAGUCGAGUUGUUUGGGAAUGCAGCUCUAAGUGGGUGGUAAAUUCCAUCUAAAGCUAAAUAUUGGCGAGAGACCGAUAGCGAACAAGUACAGUGAUGGAAAGAUGAAAAGAACUUUGAAAAGAGAGUGAAAAAGUACGUGAAAUUGUUGAAAGGGAAGGGCAUUUGAUCAGACAUGGCGUUUGCUUCGGCUUUCGCUGGGCCAGCAUCAGUUUUAGCGGUUGGAUAAAUCCUCGGGAAUGUGGCUCUGCUUCGGUAGAGUGUUAUAGCCCGUGGGAAUACAGCCAGCUGGGACUGAGGAUUGCGACUUUUGUCAAGGAUGCUGGCGUAAUGGUUAAAUGCCGCCCGUCUUGAAACACGGACCAAGGAGUCUAACGUCUAUGCGAGUGUUUGGGUGUAAAACCCGUACGCGUAAUGAAAGUGAACGUAGGUGAGGGCCCGCAAGGGUGCAUCAUCGACCGAUCCUGAUGUCUUCGGAUGGAUUUGAGUAAGAGCAUAGCUGUUGGGACCCGAAAGA